ensembl:ribozyme RNaseP_nuc Nuclear RNase P
GGCAAGGGAAGCUUGUCAGCAGGCCCUGCAGAACACUUUUCGCUCCCAGCCCCCGGGAAGGUCUGAGAUAGGGCUCUUGAGUGGCCCUACUAGGGGCACUUUUAGAGUAGGGAGCUAAGGUUCCAGAGAGCUGGGCUUCGAGAGGAAGUGGGCAGACUGGGCAGGAGAGACCUUGGGCAUAGGGAACACAGCCCACACUGGAGCUUAGAGCUAAUGCACGGCCACCAGCAAGUUCAAUAGCUGAGGUGAGGCUCCUGGAAGGUCUCAUAACCCAGUUCAGAAUACUCUUCUGAAUACU